rnacentral:rRNA from 1 species
AGAAUCAACGCUGGCGGCGUGCCUAACACAUGCAAGUCGAACGAGAAAGUCCGCAAGGACAAGUAAAGUGGCGACCGGGUGAGUAACACGUGACUAACCUACCUUUAGUGGGGAUAACUCCGGGAAACCGGGGCUAAUACCGCAUAACAUCGCAGGAUCAAAGCAGCAAUGCGCUGGAAGAGGGGGUCGCGGCUGAUUAGCUAGUUGGCGGGGUAAUGGCCCACCAAGGCGAAGAUCGGUAUCCGGCCUGAGAGGGCGCACGGACACACUGGAACUGAAACACGGUCCAGACUCCUACGGGAGGCAGCAGUGGGGAAUUUGCGCAAUGGGGAAACCCUGACGCAGCAACGCCGCGUGGAGGAUGAAGCCCCUUGGGGUGUAAACUCCUUUCGAUCGGGACGAUUAUGACGGUACCGGAUGAAGAAGCACCGGCUAACUCUGCGCCAGCAGCCGC